UACAUUAAGUGAGCUUAGUUGGAAGAGUGUAGGACUGUUAAUCCAAUUGUUGUGGGUUUGAUACCUGCCUAUGCCAG